rnacentral:misc_RNA from 1 species
GAUGAAGAACGUAGCAAAAUGCGAUAAGUAAUGUGAAUUGCAGAAUUCAGUGAAUCAUCGAAUCUUUGAACGCACAUUGCGCCCGCUGGUAUUCCGGCGGGCAUGCCUGUUCGAGCGUCAUUUCAACCCUCAAGCCCCCGGGUUUGGUGUUGGGGAUCGGCUCUGCCCUUCUGGGCGGUGCCGCCCCCGAAAUACAUUGGCGGUCUCGCUGCAGCCUCCAUUGCGUAGUAGCUAACACCUCGCAACUGGAACGCGGCGCGGCCAUGCCGUAAAACCCCAACUUCUGAAUGUUGACCUCGGAUCAGGUAGGAAUACCCGCUGAACUUAAGCAUAUCAAUAACCGGAGGA